CACAGAGUGGCACAGCGGCAGCAUGCUGGUCCCAUAACCCAGAGGUCGAACGACCGAAUCCAUCCUCUGUAA